rnacentral:rRNA from 1 species
UACCAGCAGCCGCGGUAAUACGAAGGGACCUAGUGUAGUUCGGAAUUACUGGGCUUAAAGAGCUCGUAGGUGGUUAAAAAAGUUGAUGGUGAAAUCCCAAGGCUUAACCUUGGAACUGCCAUCAAAACUUUUCAGCUAGAGUAUGAUAGAGGAAAGCAGAAUUUCUAGUGUAGAGGUGAAAUUCGUAGAUAUUAGAAAGAAUACCAAUUGCGAAGGCAGCUUUCUGGAUCAUUACUGACACUGAGGAACGAAAGCAUGGGUAGCGAAGAGGAUUAGAUA